UCCCAGUUCGGAUUGCAGGCUGCAACCCGCCUGUAUGAAGUUGGAAUCGCUAGUAAUCGCGGAUCAGCAUGCCGCGGUGAAUACGUUCCCGGGCCUUGUACACACCGCCCGUCACACCAUGAGAGUCGGGAACACCCGAAGUCCGUAGCCUAACCGCAAGGGGGGCGCGGCCGAAGGUGGGUUCGAUAAUUGGGGUGAAGUCGUAACAAGGUAUC
rnacentral:rRNA from 1 species